GCGCCCAUGGCUCAGCCGGAUAGAGCACUGGCCUUCCAAGCCGGGGGUCCCGCGUUCGAGUUGCGGCGGGCGCGCCA
rnacentral:tRNA from 1 species